UUCUUCUUGCUGCCCACGCUUGGAUUCAGAGCCAUCGAUCAGUUUUGAUACAAGCAAUCUCAACCACCCGUUUCAGUAUAAAGAGAAACAAAUUUCCCCUUUAGAUCAUCGCACAGCUUCUUCUUCAAAUUCUCUCUCGGGUUUCUCUUCUCCUUGCUCUCUUGUUGCAUAAUUUUUCCUCCAACUUCUUCCCUUGGUUUAGUGCGUAAAAGCUCCACUUUCUCUUACCUCUUCACCCAUCAGGACAUAGAAGGAAGCAAGAAAAAAAAAAAGAAAAAAAAAAAGAAAAAAAAAAGAAAUAGUUCCCUCCUCUCUACCCUUAUAUCUCUCGGUCCAGCCGCUCUCUCCCUUCUUCCUUCAUGAACAGCAGGCAGCAAAUCAUUUCUCUUCUUUAUUUCUCUCUGUUUCGGUCAAGCCCAAAUAAAGAGCUCUCAGUUCUCUCUCUAUACAUAUCUUUUGGUUUGUAGCUUUUAACAAAGAGAAAAGGAAAACAAGAAGAAAGAAAAAGGGAAAAAGACAAAAGGAAAAAGGACAUCUCUCUCUCUCUCUCUCUCUCUCGUGAAACAAAGGAAAAGAAUUAAAAAAAAAAUUAAUCAAUAAAUAAGAGGAAGAAGCUUUGGAUAGCCAUAAAAGAAAAGAAAAGAAAACAAAGAAGAAAACCUGUACUUGUCACUCGGCAGUAUGUGCGGUAGAAGGUAGCUAAAAUAUUGCUCAGAAGAUAUCAGGAUGUAAUAAUCAGAGUCACCUUCUGGUAAUGGCAUAGACCUGGCUAAGAGCAAUAGAUGGUAUCUUGGGGAACUGAUGUAACCUUUGUAAUGCUCAAGUUCGUGUUUCUCUUAUUUCCCGAAACGGGGGCGCGACACUAAGGCUCGACUGCUAAGAAAGUCCAAGGAUGCUUAAAAAGAUGCACAUAUGGUUAAGCCCACACAGGCUUAAUUAAGACCAACAGUAGAGUACACUCCCUUCUCUAUUGGAUGCGCCACAAGCAAUCUCCUCUCUAGCAUAGGGUUUUAGACACUCUCUUAUAUAUUUCUCACACAUUAUCAUACUCAAGUAGACUCUCUUCCUCCUUUUUACUAGCUCUUCUAUCCCUCUUAGGCUUUGAUUGACUUGGGCAUCAAAGUGCCUAUAGUCUCUAGAUCGGCAGCCUUCUG